rnacentral:rRNA from 1 species
UACAGGAGGGGGCAAGCGUUGUUCGGAAUUACUGGGCGUAAAGGGCGCGUAGGCGGCCUUCUAAGUCAGACGUGAAAUCCCUCGGCUCAACCGGGGAACUGCGUCUGAGACUGGAAGGCUUGAAUCCGGGAGAGGGAUGUGGAAUUCCAGGUGUAGGCGGUGAAAUGCGUAGAUAUCUGGAGGAACACCGGUGGCGAAGGCGGCGUUCUGGACUGCAACUGACACUGAGGAACGAAAGCCAGGGAGCAAACGGG